GGGUGAUUAGCUCAGUUGGUCAGAGCGCUUGCUCGACACGCAAGAGGUCACUGGUUCAAGUCCUGUAUCACCCACCA
rnacentral:tRNA from 1 species